ensembl:lncRNA
AUGCGUGGUAGUGAACAAAAAGGAAUUACUUAGCACUGAAUGUGGCUUCAGGGGCUGCAUUCAUCUUUGUAGAUUGUAUGAACUAGACAGGUGUAGUUCUCUCAUGGUAUUUGUUGAUUGAAGAGGCAGACUGAUAGUCAUCAGAGGUGAGAAGACUGUUAGUAACAAAAUAUUUUGUUUUUUUUUCUUCUCUUUCUGCUUAAUACCCUCUGUAACCCAUUGUUGCUUCUAUCUUUGUGAAGUUUGCCUUCUUUCCUGGUCUCGUUCCCAUGAUUCUUCUGGAAGUCUUUUUCAUCACUGCAUACCGGGCUUCUCUGGCUACAUGCCUGCCCUGUCAUGUUCAGCAGAUGUCUUACCUCAGUGCAGGUGUGGCUUUGUAAAGGCCAAGUUUUGGACCUUGAAUAUAAUCCAUUCUGUCUUUCCUUCCUAUUAACUAAUUAAGUGCUUUUUUUCCACUGCCUGCUAGGUAGCUGAUGUGUUUCUGACCGGCAUACAGUAAGUUGGUCCUUGGAUGAAGAAGUGUGUCUCAUUUAAACCGGACCACGUCCAGGAUCUCUUAUGAUAAUCACUGUUGUACUGACAUGAAAGAUGGGGGAGUUGGUGAUGCUGCUGUGAAGCAGCCAUCAGGACGUUGUUCUGUAGUGUCAGAAAGGCAAGUCACCUUGUUCAUCAAAUGAACAAGAAGGGAAUAAGACAGGAAAGAGAGUGGUUAGGAAGCCAUGAAGAAGUACCUAUCAGCCAGUUUGCUUGUUGGGCUUUGUGCUCAUUCCAGCUGUGCUUUUGCCAUCCCUCUGCUCCUUCCAGGAGUGGAUGCUCUUGCUCAUCCUAUUUUAAGCACCUGCUUGUGCACAAAACCCUGCUGCCUGCACGCAGUGUGGUUUGGACAGUUGCAGGUGCUUGUCUGAGUGGGUGAUGCUGUGCUCUAUAGAGAGCAUAUUUUCUGUUUUGUCUGACAUCAAGAAAUACAGCUUUUCUGCAGUCAUCUCCUAAAAGGAAUCCACUUUUCUCAUCAGAAAUCUAUGCAAAAUGUGUGCUUGCCCUCUGACUGCACGAUACCUGCUGUGACCGUGGCUGAGGAGGAAGGGCAGCUGCCUCAGGUGCUUCGUUAAUCCUGCUUUUGUGCACAGCUUUGUUCCGUGGUCCCGAUCUACCCAUCGUGACUUGCAGGGAUCCAAUGCUGUUUUAUGUCUGCAUAUUCUACUGGAUGAAAUGGAUAUGACAUGAAAUGAAUAUGAGAGAAGGAAUACCUGAAGAAAGGAGCUAGCAAAGAAUGGAGCACCAGGAUUUCUUAGCUGUGUGAAGUUUGACUGUGAACUCGUGCUGUACUUUCUGUGAGCAGUAACUCCUGAAUGUGAACGCAUAAGAAGUGCCUGCAGAGCACUGCAGCCCUGCUUCAAUGAUGGGAUGGAGUAACUGUGAUCUGGAGGAGCUCAGGUACAAGGAGCAGCGUGUUACCAGGAGCGCAGUUCAGAAAUGUGUGAUCUGAAAGCACGGAUGAGGCUACUGUCCCUUUGUUUUUGAGCACAAACCCUCUGUUGAGAGUGAAAACAACUUUGUCUUUUCCUGCUUAUUGUAGUCACCUGAAUUAAAUGCACUCCAGGUGAGCAUAUCUGACAUUUUUUUCUGUUUUUUUUUUGUCUGACAAGAGCUGAUUGCAGAAUUCCUGAGACAGUGGGAAAAAAGAUUUAUAGAACUGUAGAAAAACUGUUUCUCCAUGUCACAGGUUCUCUCCUUAAAGUAGUUCAACUUAAAUUGUGUUUCUAAGAAACAGCAAGAAAUUGGAAGGAUUUAUCUGAAUGAGAGUUAAAACAGACAUGGCAGUAUUUGUACUGGGUUGCGUUUUUUGCUUCUCUGUUUUUUUUCCCUACUCCCAGAUAUGCCUUUUCCUUUCCAGUGUAUCCAUAUCUGGAGGUUCUGACUAGACAGAGACUUGUGAGGGUUAAAAUCUCGAGGAACAGCUGGGAGAUGCUUAGCAAGCUGAAGUGACUUAGAGUUAAGGGUCUUCUGAGUCUACUAAGAAGCCCCACCCUGUCUUGGUCUGCCUUCUCAGUGACACUGGUAUCACAUUACAGUUCAGGGACUAAAGGGUAGGAACCUGGGUAUUUCCUGUGUUCAGCCCUAUUUACAUAGAAACAACAUUCUGGAAUAUCGUGUGGCAAACCUGCAAGGUUCUGGUGGGACAGUAUUGCCAUGCUAAUCCCCUGCUUGGGGUUACAGGAAAGAAGUACUUUUUUUCUCCAUGCUUACAUCUAUGCAGCCCCUGAAAAUAGUCAGCAGAAUUUGGGUGCUUCCAUUAUCAACUAAUUGAAUUCGUUUGGCUCAAUCAAGCAUUCAGCUAUUCUGCAGCCAGUGGUGUCAGAUGGGACAUGUAUUUGGCUGAGUUUCACAAAAAUUGUUGGCUCCACGUUGGUUGUACAAUGGGGAACACAAAACCACUUCAGGAUUCAGCUUUCACAGCUUCUCAGCAUGUUAUCUGAACUGUUGUCUGUAUGCAGUGCUGCAAUUGCUGCUAGGGUUUAAGCACAUCUCCUGGUCUUGAUCUCCUCUUUGUCACCUUCUCACCUUUUCAGCAAGUCUGGAGGAAGCUGAGCGCAGCAACCUUUUGUGUUUUCCACUCUAAAUGUCAUUCAUCUUCAAGAUUUUCCUGUCAGCCACGUUAAAUAGCAUUCCACCAUGCUCACUCACUUGCUAUACAUUCCAGAUUUGCAUCCCGAAUGUGGAAAUUAUUUAUGAAUUUCUUGAAUACUUUAUCUUACGUUAGAUUAAUUGUAGAUUACGUCUCCUUCUGCUGUCUUUGUGUUCUCAGGCUCAGCUUUGAAAGAUCUGAAUGGCUAUGUGAUAAAGUGACGAGAGGCAAUAAAACUAUAGGGCAAAACCACAUAAUUAGAGGAAGGAAGACACUACGGACUGCAAUGCAGCCUUUGAAACUUCCUUGUCAUCUACUGGUUAUAACUUUUGCAUAUGGAAGCAUACAGAGGUAGAGUUUGGGGGCCUUAUCCAGAGUACCGUGUUUACUGCCAGUUGCACUGCACUGAUAUCAUUUGUUUGUACUUUGAAUCUUACCAGGACCUCCCCAGAAAUUCUCUUGUAGAUGUGGAGUGAUAGGCCUCAAAGUAAAGCUGUACCUCCGAGCUUCUGUGAGGCUGAAGUCAAGGAAUUAUCCUGUAAAUCCAGAUUGAGUCACACCUGGACAACCCAUUGUGUGAUACAGAUCCCUGCUGGGUUGCAGUUUGCAGCCACAGGGAAGUAUUGACACUUACUCAGCUUAAAGGCCAAAUAUAAAUUAAAUCAAAACAGAAGUCCCAGCAGCUUUGGGAGGAAGACUUGGCCUUUAGACUCCUUUUGCUCAUCUCUAAAGCUGUCAUUUCAGGUAAAUAACAAUUCUGCAAGUUUGUGGUUUUGACUUCUCACCUCAGCGGUUUGGAUCAGUGAUUGAGGACGUGGACCCAGGAAUUUGAAGAUGAGCUUCACUUUUAAUGUCUUCAUUUGGACACCAAGCAAAUCCCUAACUAAUUGAGGCUGAAAUGCCUUAGGAUGAUAUUUGCUGUUCUUUAUUUAAAUUCAGAGGGUUUAUCACCACACAGACAUUUCAGUUGCUUAUUCUAGGAAACUCAUGGAAACGUGCUUUGUUAAAUAAUGUAUUUUCUAUUUUUUUUUCCCUUCCUUGUGUUACAAAAUGAAUGUAAAAGCUUUAAAACCCAGCAUUCACCACUCUGCAGUAGAUCUAAUAGAGUGGCAUUAUAUGAAGAGAUGCCAUGGUAACUGAAGUUGCCAAGACAGUCAGUGUCAAGCUUUUUAAUGGUGACUGCUAUACUAUAUUUGGCUUUGAUUACCACAAUCUGAAUAGCAAAUGGAAAGUGUUCACCGGUCUCAUUUGCUACCACCUACAGUCCAGAAGUAACGAGAUGACAGAAUUCAGUGUUGCACUGACUGCCAACCACUGGCCAUCAGGAUUGUUCUUUGCAGCACUCCCCUCUCCCACUGGAUCUCAUGGCAUCCUUAUCACAGCCUUACCAUUUGUGCUAUCCAGUUGGUGAUAUGCCACUUGUCUUAAUGAAAUUUGGCACCUGAAGCCAGUAGAGGAGUCUGCACUUUGUGAGCUGGCAAAAAAUCAGCAAAGUCAUUUCCACAGGAAACUGUUCUUUAAAUCUGUAAGUGGUGCGAAAGCAGAAUAAAGCAGAAACAUACACUGUUUUUUUCUCAUAAAUGGGUUAGGUGUACCUUACCUCCCUUGCUGUAAAGCUUUGUAGAUCCUGUUAUCAUCAGUUUUCACAAAAAUGAUGCUUUCUUCUGUCUCCAUAAUUUUGGUUUAUUUUUUAAAUGCCAGAAUAGAAAGCGAGGUCCCAUCGCCAAGGUGCCAUUUUAUCAUUUUGCUCACUCUAAUACAAAUGAUUUACCUAUACACUGAAGUAUUACCGUAAGUUAUAAUGAAGCUCCUUGCUAAAACGUGCAGCAGCAGUUCCAAAACGUUACUCAUUACCUUUAAAUCCAGAACUAAACUUUCUGCCAGUAGUAAUAGCCUCAUGCUGUUAAAAAGGACUGUUUUUAACAUGCUGUUAAAGGACUGCUUUACUUAAAAGGAAGCAGUCACAGAGCAGACUAUGAAAUGCUUCUUGAAUGAGAUGAACAGUCCUGGCCAUAACAGUUGUAGACUAUUGGGAAACUCAAUAGGCAGCUAACAGGAACAACUUGGGUAGGAAGAGCUUGAGGGUGAGUGCAGCUCAGCUCAGAACAGCCUUCUGUCAUUCUCUCUUGCAGUUAGGCAGACAUAAACAAAGAAGCAUGAUGGGAAGAAACUGAUAUCUUGGAGGGAAGGGAAAGACUAAAUAAAGAGUAGGGAAAAAGCUUUAACAAUGUGAUUCUUUAGAUAGAAAGCUAGUCUCAAAAGACCUAUCCCUUGACACAUGAAAAAUUGAUUGGAGAAAGCAGUAGCAAAUAGUUUUCCAGGAAGAAUGUUGUAUUGGCAGGAGGAUGGAUAAGAUGAUCACAGUUCAUUUACUUAAGUUAUAUCCAACAGCAUUAUGAAGUAGGAGAAUAUAUGGGUGAUUUCAUGUGGUUUUGGAUCGUGUGGAUUUUGAACAAACCAGUCAGGAGGUAGCAGCAUUGCUUUGGAGAUCAGCAAAUGAAGAAAAACAGCUUCAGUUGAAAGGGAACAGAUUUGACAGGAAAAAUUCAUAUUUGUUAAAGAUUGGUUUAGAAUACUGACAUCAAAUCUCACUGUCAGUGGAUAUUUUCUUCAACGGCUGUAUCUCUACUGCUAAAAUGCAACACAACAAAUUCAGAUUCAUUCCUAAGAUCAAUUUGUUCAAGUCAACAAAAUUUUUGUCACACCACUGUUAAACCUGAGAUGCCUCAAAUAAAGAGUAUAACUUGGCUUGAAAACAGCACGAAGGAUGAAUGUAAUCCAUGCCAUCGAGAAAAUAGCCAAUGUUAAACUAGAUGAGUUUGACACCAAUUCAAAAGGCAUCUUCUUGUGUCCUACAUUCUAGUAAUUUUGUUGACUAAAUUAUGUGUUUAAAUUUAUACGGCAAACUCAGGCCAGCAUUUGGGUUCCUGUGAUUAUUCAUUUGUAAGGCUGUGAAUGCUUAUUAAUGGCUCCUGGCUUUAGAAUGAGCGUUUAUGCUUCCAAAGCACUGCACAUGACUAAUUUGUUCUUCUGCUUAUUCGAAAGCAGCAGGGGUUGUCAAGAAGCCAAAUCUACACUGAAUUAAAACCACGUUGCUUUGCUUCCAUAGAAGAGGUAAUACUUGGCUGUUGUAAAAAAGUCACACUUCAAUUGAGCAUCAGUUCAUCACUGAAACUACAAAGUGGAGCAGUCGCAGAGGUAAGGUGAUGGUAAAUGCAAUGUGACGUUUCUCCUGGGCCAUACUGCAGAGAAACCUUACCUUUGUGUGGUGCAGCUGAUGUUGUGUACUUCCCAGAAAAAACAAAAGAGCUGUAAGGUUGCAGCAGAACGCCAUGUCAAGGGAACCCAGAGUCUAAUUAAUCUCAGAGAAGUAUAAAGCCAUAACGAGUACCCACUUCAUUUUGUUUGAGUUGGUUUCUGUCCAGGUUAAUGUGAAACAGAGUGACCUGGUUGUAUGUAUGGGCCUGAAUGCGUUCCCAUGUUCUGCUAUAUAUUCCCACUACUAAGAUUCAGUCUAACCUCCAGCGUUUGGCAACCCUUAUGGUCUUCUGCCAGUUCUUCAGUCUUCAGAGGAGGUUUGAAGCUUCUCGAUAACGAUUUCACAUAGCAGUUGUGGAUCCUAAUGGUAAAUAUUUUUGGUUGGCGUUCCCUGAGGCUGCCAGUUAGCAGCUAACAGUGACACUCGACUGGUUUCUGUGCAGUGGAACUGUGCAGUUAGAUUAAAUCUCACUGAGUUAUUGCAAGGAGUUACACUGUGGCUAAAUGUUUGUACCACUGCAACCUGUAGUUUUCAAUAUAAUUCUCUGCAGCCUGGCAAGUGCAUUAAUGGUUUUACAUAGUGCGAGGAACAAAAGGUUGCUUAGAUGCAGCGCAGCUGCUGAAGGUGGUUAUAAAAAGGCCCAUUUAACAUUCAUAGAUUCAGGGAAAGAAAACAGGAUAACCCUGCUGCUGGUUGUAGGGGUGAGUGUGAGCAGCUGCUUCAUGCGAUGCACAGCUGUGCCAGCGAUGUGCUGCAGAAGCGAUGAAUUAAGCUGUAAAGUGCAAGUCUCUGUGUACAACGUCCCGUUUUUGGAUAGCCCUGGAAAGUAAUGUAGAAGCUGUACAUGAGUGCCUCAAGUCUCUUUGCUUGCCUGUGCAGCAAUUAAUUUCAUACCUAUGCUAUGAAACCCCUGGAACAUCCCGUGUAGUGCGCAAACCAAGCGCUGUGCACAAACCUCCCAGCUAGACCAGAGGAAUUUAUAUCCCCUUCACUGACACACACAGACUGCUGGGUUGGUGCAAUGCUCUGAUGUGUUGGAUAAUAUGUGCAGGUCGUUGAACUUCAGUAGUACUGGAACAUGUGGAACAAACACUCUUGAAAUGAAGAAACUCCCAGCUUUGGGGCUGUGGCUGCAACCCUCCAAGGUGCUAGAUGUGUGAAAUGUGUUCUUCAGCACUGUACCUGAACAAAAAUCCUUCUGUCACUCCCUAGAAUUGCUAAAAAUGCUAGUUGUGUUUUAUAGAUAAAUGAUUGAUUGUGAGUUGUUGGCAUCAGCAACACUGCAGGCAUCACCGCCAUGCAGAGCUUUGUCUGAUUCCUGCCUGGCCAGCAAUGGUAAAUAGGUGCAGGGCUGGAGGAGCUCCAGGUGUCACUGUUAGGACAGCACCUGGGUAACUGGAGGGGCUUGUUUGUCACUGCUGAGGGAUUUCUGUGACCAAGACUCAACAGCUGCAUGCAGGGCAGCUCUGGCUGAAUCACACAGCUUCAGGUGUGGGAAGCAGCACUGCUUUAUGGAGGCUGCCUUUUUACUUUGGAGGUUUCUUAGCUGUUACAUAGUUGGUCACUGAUAACUUUGGCACAUUUUUGGUGGAGUAAUCUUGCCAGCAGCUUGAUACAUAGCUACAGAAAACAAAACAAAAGCAUCCUCACUUUCCUCAUUCCUUCCCCUCAAAUGAAGUAAUUUGAAAAGUGCAGAGCUCUGUUAAAAAGCAGAAUCAUCUGGGAAAGGAAAUUUGUCCUGACAGAGAUGGCAGGGGUUUGCUAAGCAGCAAGGCUGUGUGACUCCAUCCUCGUGGAACUGCUCCAGCACUGACCAGACGCACUCCUUCCAGGUCAGGACAGUGGGAGCUUGAGCCUUACUCUGUCCAAACAGCUUUGGACCAGACUUUGCUGCUGUCGCCUGCUCUGUGGUCCCGUUAUCUAUGGCAGCCUGGUUGGAAUGGUGUUGCUCAGACCUCUUGGGCAAGUCACUGCAAGCCCUGGUUGCUGGGAGAUCCUGUCUGCUUAUUGCAACUCCAGCCAGUGCUAUGACUUGCAAGACGCAGCAUGCUGAGGGCCCUCACUAGCACCUUGUCUCUCUAACUUUGCUAUGGGCUUGUCAUGGGCAGGCUCACUGUCACCCCUUUCCCCCUUCAAACCUGGUUUAAAGCCCCCUCAAUGAACUCAGACAUCUCCUGGGCUAGAAUUCUUUUCCCCUUAGACUCGAGUGGACUCCAUCCAAGCCAGGCUCCAAGUAAACCACCCCGUAGUCAGAAAAGCCAAAAUUCCUGCAGUGGCAUCAGGCUGUCAGCCAUGUAUUUAUCAAACAGACUUUCCUGGUCCUCUCAGUAUCUCUCCCUGCAACUGAAGGGAUUGAGAACAUCAUCUGUACUCCCGCUCCAUCCACUGCCCUUUGGUAUUUGUAAUGUUUGUCACAGUUGUUGGUUCUUGGAAGAAUGCAGUGUGUGCUGCUAAAUGGGGAUGGAAAAUGCAACAGCCGCAUCCAUGUAUAUUGAAAUGCAUUGUGUAGCACUACAGAAGUAUUUUCAUAAAGCUGACAUUCAGAAAAACAUUCAGAAAUACAUAUACUAUAGCAAUACUAGACAACAUCUGUUAAUAUUUUAUGCUUUUUUAAACUCACAGCCCUUGGAGAAGGAGAGAUUUGACAGUGAAAUAUUCAACUGAUUUCAGCAGCAGUGGGUCAGAUCCACAAAUCAGGCCACUGAUGUAAUUUGUCCCUAGAGCUUUAGCUGUCUAUGGAUGCUGGUAAGGUACUGGUGCCUGUUGUUGCCUGCCUUUGGCAGCAAGAGCACUCCCCGUUUGUAAGGAAGUAAUCUAAUUUUAUUCAUCUUCUUACUUCAUCUUAGACUUUAUUGCCAUCUGUCUUCAUGAGGUAGAUAGAUUGUUUGAGUGUAGCCUUGUGUACUGUCGUUGUCUUUUGUUUCCCUUACAGAGAGCUUGUGUAGAUGCUCACUGCUGUUACUGAAGUGGACUGGAGUUUUAAACCUGUUGCCUGUCCUCUUCAUCUCGUCGUAACACAACCUGUUCUCUUGGCAUGACAAAGUAGAAGCUUCCUCUGCCCAGCCUAGUGACAUGUCACCUGGUCACCAACCUUUCAUCUCCUCUUAUAAUAUCCAUGCUGAGUAGUCCUUACAGAUUAACUCUGUGAUAGACAGUCUGUGUGAUGUCUGAUUGGCAUAGAUGGACAGAGGUUGCUCCAAAAGUAAUGCCUCCUAUUUAUUUCCAUGGAAACCAACAGAUACAAAGAGCACAAUAUUAUUGUUUGAUAGAGCACAUUCUCAGCUACAAAACACUGUUUUUCAACACAGAUACCACCAUUAACAAGCAUUUGCAAGCUGUAUUCAUAAAAAUCUGCCUGACCUAUAGGAACGUGGCUUGUCUUUCACGUUGCUGUCACCACUGCUGAAACACACCACGCACCACCUCAGUGUGUUCACAUCCUCUGUUCGGUCUCCAUUGAUGAAUGUCAAUGGGUGCCAUUUUUUCUGCAUGGAGGAAUUUAGUCCCACCCCUCUACUCCAUUCAUACUUCCAUGUCAGAUGCCAUUCUUUCCGAUUGCCCCCCUACUGCCAUCUGUCAUAAAGCAAAAAAAUAUAAUGAAAUAUUGACGGGAAGGUUCAACUUCUACUGCCAUCCCAGCACCAUCCACCUCUGAUGUUGUGGGCCAACAUCAUAAAAUAGGAGGCAUUACUUUCAGAGCAGCCCUCAUAACCGAGAAUGUUUGAAUUAAGUGUGCAGCUGUCUUGAUAGCCUGACAGUAACUUCAGCAAAGGGUGGCAGUGCCUAGGCAGAAUGUGUCUGAAAGCAGGAUUCCCAGUCUGGGAGGUGGAAUUACUUCUCUCUUCGUAUCUUGAUUAUUUAUUUUUGCUCUAUCAACUCUAAUGCUGGGCUUUUGUGUUCACAUCAGCACUUGGUGGAACCAUAUUGGUGGCCCUUUUGAUGGAGGUGAGAGUUUGUCAUUGGUGUAAGGAGAUUUCAUUGUUGUAUCAGUUCUGUAGUUCUUUGACACUCCUAUGUAAAUAUGGUAAAUCCAAACCAAUCCAUGUAUUUGCGUCUCUCCGAGGAUCUGCUUUGAAAUCUGCAUUUCAACAGCCUUUGUAACCGUACCUCAACACAAUGCAGAUAAGAAAGUGCUUUCUGCUAUCCCUGUUAAAAUGCAAGACAGCUUUUCCAGCUGGACAUAACUGCGUACCUUCACUGGUCUCCCCACAAUUGGGAUUUUUCUUCCUUUCCAAGAGUGAGCAGUGCCAUCAUGCCACCAAGCAUGGCAGCAGCUGACACAGGGAUUAAACUGCUGCUUCCUUGCUCUCUGCCUGAAGAUAAUUCUUGAAGGAAGUACAGUAGGAUUUAGGAAAAAUUUCUUCUCCAAGAGAGUGGUCAGACACUGGAAUGGGCUGCCCAGGGAGGUGGUGGAGUCACCAUCCCUGGAGGUGUUCAAGAAACAUGUAGAUGUUGUACUGAGGGCCAUGGUUUGGUGGGGAAGUACUGGUGGUAGGUGGACGGUUGGACUGGAUGGUCGUGGAGGUCUCUUCCAGCCUUGGUGGUUGUAUGAUUUUCAGCACAUGUACAUAUUUAAGGCAUUUUUUAAAGUGUGUUUCUAAACUUCAUAUUUAGAAACCUGCUUAUUCAAGCUUAUGCUUUGCUAAGUUCUAGGAAAUGAAAUUAACUUGAAGAGCAACUUACUGUAAUUUACUGUGAACAAGUUGUAUCUGUAACAGAAGCUUGCUGGCACAUGCUGCUUUAGGUUGGACAAGGGAUAUGAGUGUGUGUAUCUUUCUGCUAUGUGGUAAGACUCCACGUGAGGAUGGAGGUCCUGGGGCCUCAGAGGAAGACUGAUGUCUUGCCUGAGGAGGAAAUUCAAGGUGUGCGGUCAUGGUUGAUGUAAAAGCCAUUCUGCUCACCCUGCCCUUUGGGCAGUCUGCCCUUCCCAUCCUGCAUAGGUCAAUCCUUUAGGUCCAUCUCAUACGCUGUGGACCUUGCGUUAAAGGGGAGAAUGCACUGCUGGAGGUGUGCCAGUUUCUGAUUCCAAAUGUUGGUGCAUCUUCUCAGCUUCUUUCAUGCUUUCUCUGGCGAUUGCUUCCGUGAAUACAAAAUCUGACAAAUAAUUGCAUUUUGAAGGGCAUGCUUAAUGGAGGUCCAUAAAAAUGAUUUACAGACAACUGCAAACUGAACUAUUACACUAAAGGAUAAAAAGCUUCCUUAAUGAGCUGUACAAGACAGUUAUUGAUGUAUUUAUGAAAACAUUCCCCAGUACAUGCAACCAGGGGAAUUCAAAGAUAAAUAUUUAAAGAUUGUCUGACAGUUUUUGAAUGUAGCAAAACUCGAGUUCCUCUGGUUCCUCUGUAGGGCAGUAAAUGUCUUGAAACAAAAGUAUGUGUGAUUUGUAACAGAAGAGAACAAAACCUGUCUUAAAACUAGAUGUCUUUCUAUGUGACAAUGCUUUGUUCAACCUAAGAGAUAAAGCAAGGAGAAAAUAGGCAUGGGAAGCUUAAGAUAUUAAUAAGGUAAGCCAACAUUUUUUUUUUCUAUCUAGGUAAUUUAUUAGAAUGGUGUCAAAGAAAUGUACUUAAGAUGAUGAAAUGUAACAACAGUUUCGCGUUUGAUUGAGUUUCCUUUCAUCCCAUCAUUGCUGUACACAGUCAGGUUAUUCAAGUGUGAUCUUUAAGUGUUCACAUUGUGAUUUAUAAUCUUGAUCUUCGCACCCCAGGGAGAGAAAAAUUGGUCUGUUGUUAUGAAUCUGAUUAAUAUAUAGAACAAUGUGUGCCCUUUUGGUAUUUAUUACACACAUGUGCUUUUAGUUUGGAUUAUCUCAUUGUUACUUGCACUUUGCAGGCAUACUGCAUUACUCUCUGAGUAACAAACUGUAGGAGCAUUCUAAGUAUUGGGGCUGACACUUGGUGUGGCAUCACCUUGUCAUUGGUGCACUUUAUAUCCUUGACUGGCUUAAUAAUUGAUAAUUUUUAAAUAAUAUGGUUUUCUUUAGGACCACAGCUGCUGUGUCACGUAACUCCUCCUGCCAUACAGAACGAAGACCUGGCUCAUGCUAUUAAAUAAGCUCUAGAGUCUUUUUUAGACUUCUUCCACCACAUUGUUUCUUGGGCUACAGACUGAGACUGGGCUAUGGAGCCUCUUCCUUUGAAGGUUGGUAGAAGGAGUGAAUGAGGGACAGGGGCUGUGCUAGCCAGCCUGUGAAAGGUGCUGGCAGCCGCCCUGAGUGUUGCUCAUGGGUAGAAGAGCUGCAUUAGCAGCCAGUGCUGAAGGUUAAUAGAAGAGUUUUAGUCUUGGGGGAUCUCUUCUUCAGCACCAAGAAGGGUUGUGAUGAAGCUGAAUUUCCCCCUGGGUGACGAUGCUGGUCCCAUUUUCACUUACAAGAACAUGGAAUAUAUUCAUCAACAUUCAUUAACUUCAUGGAUCUCAAGGAAGCACACAUAACCUCCACUAAGACUUCUGAGUUGUAAGUGUAGUAUGGGGUAGUAUUUAAGCUUUUCUAGCUUUCUGCUGGGAUAUAAGGGUUUGGGUUUCUUUCUUUGUUUUCCUUGAUGUCAUUUGAUUGCUUCAAAUUUUACUUUUUUGGCUUAUUUUUCCUGUUUCAUUUCCCCUGUAAGGACGCAGCAGUUCACAUGCACCAAAGUCUCUGUAAUAGUGUCCUUACAAUGAAAGGGGAUUUGUGUACUAAGGAUUGUAUCAGUGAAAAACUAGUGUUGGAUUUUUGCUAUGUGGGAAUGUAAGGCAAGGAGAGCAGAAAAGGAAUAGCCAAUACUUUGAUAGUUAAGGAAGCACAAGGGUACACAUACAAGUCCUGAGCCUUGGAAAGGUUCUCAGUCCAGCUCUGUAUAUCUGACUCAGUAUGGAACAGCCUGUGUUAAUUUAACUUAAAUCUCUCCUGCACCAAAUUGUAGGUGGGAAGUCUGUUGAUCAAAGCCAGACUUUUAAAGCAGGUUUCCUGUAGUAGUGUGUAAAAUCAGUCUUUGUACAAGAGUAGUUCUGUCACCUGCCUUGCAAGCAAAUUACAUUAUGCAAUUUAGAGCCCAAGUAUGGCUUAACUUCAGUGGAUAAAUCUCAUGCCUGUUGUGAAAGCAUUCAUGUCCUUGGGGCCUGUAUUUGAUUUCUCAAUAUGUAGGAACAAUAGAAAUUUGAAGAUUUUGAUUGAAAUGCAACCCAUGGAUUAUGCACGUAACCAUUUGCAGCCUUUACUUAUGCACCUGUUGUGAAGACGCAUCCACACUAAGGAACUGCAGCUCAGCCUCUUUGCUUGGCUGCAGUGCCUUUUGGUGUAAGCUAGUGGAGAUGUUUUGCCUCUAUCAGAAGAACUGAAGCACUGUUCUUCCAGGGAGGCCGGCAGCAACAAAGAAAGAAGGAUGCCCUGAAUGGCUGUUGGAGGCUGUCAGACUGUUAUAUCUCUUGUAUUUACUGCUUUACUUGUUGCCUUUGGAAGAUUAUUGCUGUCAGUGCUUGAAGGACCCUGCUCCACAGUCACCUAGAUGAUCUCACCUUCUAUUCUGUAUUGUUUUCAGAAAAUACAAUGGUUAGCAUGUUAAUGGUUAACAUACAGUUUUAGCAGCUUCAGUUGCAUUAUAACUCAAAAAUUCUGUCAAGAAGAACUUAGAUUGAGCUUCAGAUUCUGACAGUGUCCUGAAGACAAUCUUACUGGCUUCUCCCAGGUGACUUGCGUUUCCAUUCUGCAGGCUGGAGCAAUGUGAUGCUGAGGUGAUCCAGAAUUUCUGACUCUGUGCAGAUCAGCCCUGUCCCUGAGCAACCACCAGGCAGGUACGAUUUAGAUGAGGGUACAAAAGCAUGGAGACCCCUCAGAUUUAUGGGUGCCUCAGUCACCUAGAGCAGAUUGUCUGUGAGAUGAGAGUGCACAGAGACCACAGUUGGAUAUUGUACACCUCUGGAGUAGUUACCUUGGCAACUAUCAUACUGUGUGCGGUUUGGUUGCGAGGAACUGGCACAGCAGAGAAGUGUGACAUGUGAGACAUAAUCCUCCGUGCAUUUCCGAAGAUGGCAAGCAGGUGAUGGCGUGAGCAUUUCUGCUGUUGGCAGCGUAACGGCCACGAGCUCAUUGCUGUAGCAGCCCUACUCUCACAAUUUAAAUUCCUCAUGUUAACAAAAAUGAAGAGCUGUGCAGUGGUACAUGUUAUCAGCACUUUUUCUGGAGGAGUUCCUUGAGAAUGAAGGUGAAUAAAACCAUCCUGCUUACCUCACCACCUCCCACUCGUUUUGCCUAAAACGCCUCAUUGAAAUUUCUUAGCAGAGCAGGGCUGUGCAGCUCCUGGAGGAUCCUCUUAGAUCUUGGUUGGUGGGAGGUGGAUUUGCCUGGGCUGCUGACUUCUUUUUCUUCAGAGACCUCGGUAAGCUGUGUGAGUUCCCAGGGCACCCAUCCCAUCCCCCUCCCAGCCCAGGGGAGCCCACAUGGCUCAGAAUAAUGAAGGCCCUUACUGAGGGUGUCAGGGUUCACGAUUCCUCUCCUCUAGUUCUUGUGAUGAUUCUAUAAGGCGCCAGUAGGGCUUGUUAACAGAGCUGAUCAAUGAAACUUGUGUGCAAGGAUCGCUAAGAUCAAUUCUGCAAUGAAUCAAAGAGUCCUUCCAGUAUUGACUUUCUUUUUAAACAGCAAAAACUGGAAGAAAAAAAAAUAUAAGAGUAUUCACCACUAUUGGUGUGUGUGGCUGAGCCGUCCCUGAAGGGCAGCAGUCUGCAUGCAGCUGUGCCAGGGGUUCCAGGUGGCACAGACCUCAGAGACCCCCGAGUGAGGAAGCAGAGAUGGGGUUGCUCAUGGUGCUGUAUUUUGGCCCAUGCUCAGUGCGUCACUGUUGUUUGAAUCUUAAAAAGAUUGCCCCCUCCUCGUUCCAUUUUAGUUUCCUGGUCGUAGCUUUUGUCUUUCCAUAGCAAAUGUGGUUCCUCAAGCAUUGCAGAGUACGGGCGCUUUUACUUGACUUUGAAAUAUUUUAAGCCUGAUUCUCUUUCACUUAGCUUUCACUUCUAGAAAUGAAAAAUAUCAGAAUAGAUGGAGUUGCUCAUUUUCUGUGUAAUUCAGUGAGAACUCUGUCAGGUCAAGUCUAGCACAGACAAGAGGCCCCUCACCGCUGGGUAGGAAGAGACAGCUUGGUAGUCUGCAUUCCAAGUCAAGGUGCAUUUCCAGGAGAGGUGGGAAGGGGGGUGGCAAAGCAAGUUUCACAGAACUCUCUUAGUUCUCCUUGGUGGAGUAAUCCCUGUUAAAAAGCUGACUGAUCAGUGACCAUAAGGAGAUAUACCACUGUCUUGUACAGGCUUACUGUACUUGGAAGUGCAAUCAGUGUUUUAAUGACUGUUCCCUGCUGCAGUAUAUUUAACUGCAUCGAUUGAUACCUUAAAACUGUGGCUGUUCAUUAGGCUUUAAAAAUUUUCCUUCUUUAUGUGUUGUAUGUGGGAGUGUAAGCCAUCAGCUUAUGUAAAAUGUAAAGCUUUCUUUUGGGAUACCCACUCAUUUAAAAAUAUAUAUAUAUGAAAAAAAGAUCAGGUGGGUUCAUUCAUCAAGGUGUGAAUGCUUAAGACCAUUUUACUAACGUGAAACCAAAAUCUGGUGAUUUUAGGGGAAUCACAGAAUCACCAAGGUUGGAAAAGACCUCCAAGAUCUUCCAGUCCAACCAUCCACCUGCCACCAAUAUUCCCCACUGAGCCAUAUCCCUCAGUACAACACCUAAACAUUUCUUGAACACCUGCAGGGUCGGUGACUCCACCACGUCCCUGCGCAGCCCAUUCCAAUGCCUGACUACUCUCCUGGAGAAGUGUUUCCUAAUGUCCAACCUGCAUUGGAGUUAACAUUCUGUUGUGUUUUAGUGAGUAGAGCACAGUGUAGGGUGGGUUUCUUGUACAAGUGCAUCUAUUCAUUCAGCAGCAAUACAAACCCAUGUCAGUAUGGUUUUCAGCACACCCAUGGGUGUGGAUGGGGUUGCUGGUGCUCUCAGGUCUGCUGCUUCCCGCUGUAACGAGCAGCCUGAAAGCUGCAGCUUGCUGUGUGUGUUCACACAGCCUGUCAGUCUGCUGCUGCCAUUUGAUUUAGGAUGAUGAAAGCAGGAGCAAAAUACAGCUAAAAGUGAAGUGAGUUGUGUUGGAUGGAUUUGUAACUCCUGGUGACCUGAGGAAGGAGAGACAAUGCCGCCGGAUGUCACCUGGCGGUGGGCAGACACCUCAGCCCUGGCUGUAAGUACGGGAGAGUUUUGCAGCUGCAGUCUUCCUUUUCAGCUUUGUUCUCACAGCUCUGGGCCUUCUGGUCGGAUCCAUGCAGGGCUGCCGUGCCGUGUUUCAGUCUGUGCCCUCCCACAGGCUGGGAGCUCUGUACAAUUUGCCCUUUUGAAACAUGAUCCUUUGUUCCUACUGAACUCGGGGCCGCUAUCCCAGAAACCUUGUUCCAUUUUCCAGCUGUCUGAAAUUGGGCUUUCUGCUGCAGAGGAUUUUCUUGCCAUAUCAGAGAUUCCCUCUCCCUCCAGGCUUUUUAUUGCUAAAACAGUAGGCUAUGAAUGCUGCAUCAUGGUGCAUACAGGUGUGUGUAUCAGUGUUUGUGCUAGCACACUGCAGGCGUUAUCUUAUGCUGUGCAUUUGUGAAAGUGCUGUGAAUGUUCUGUGGGUUAUAACACUCAAUUGCAUGGUGCAUCUUCCCAAAUUCCCACAAAGAACAGCAGAACUGACAGCAAGAGAUGCACUAACAAAAUCACACGGAGCUCUUGCCAAGCAGAGGGCAAUUUUGUUCCUAGGCACUAAAGGACGACGAUGACCAACAACAUGCUUGCUGCUAUAUUAAUAGGUUUUAUUUCACCAUAAAUCUUACCGCACACCCUGCAGCUUGUUGUGCCUUGGCCACACUAAACCGUCCUGCAGGACGUUGCUCACAUCUUGUUCACGUGCUGUCCUUUCUGAUCAACCUGCCAGGCGAUGGAGCAGGAUAGGGACGUCAGGGCAGAACUGACCAGGAGGUACGGACUGCUUCAGCCAGGAGGAACAACACUGACUCCUGUGUUUUAUCUGGCUGCUGGCUGUGGGAAUCCUGCCAACCAGCUGGUGAAAACGGUAUAAAAUCUGACUUUGUGUAAUAUUACACUUGUUUCUGUGAUCCUUGCUUUUAGCAAAUAGUUCAUUCCUAACCGCUGUUGGGAAGCAGGCAGACUGACAGUGCUGUGAGUGCACGUGGGCUCUGCUCUGCAGACACAGCCCGUGUUUCCAGGGUUGUACUCCAUCUCCCUUCCAUGCUUUGGUACUCAGAAAGGAUUAACUUUGCCCUCAGUGCCUUUACACAAACAGCACUAAAAUAUUUGAAGGAAUGUGAUUUUCUCUGGGGCUGGAUGGAAUUAAAGCAUUGUACUUGUCGUGAUUUAAGGUUGUUUCUGAUGAUGGAGGCUGGCUGAGGUUUCUCACUUCUGCUGUCCUCUCUUGCAUGCCUUGUUUCCUACAGUCUGUGUAACAAGCUUUCCCAGGGGAAAUCUCCCAGCAACAGCAUGCGCUGAUGAUGCUGUGAUGCCUGGCUGUCGGAGUUGUUGCACACAAAUAGGACUGACAAGUGAAACAGAAAAUGUGAGACUAUCUGAUGUUCCAGGGAGGAUGGCUGAAGCACGGCCACUGCAGGAACGCGGCUCAGUUAAACUUGCUUCUCCCAAAGCAAAGAUCAUUAGGUUAAAAAACAGCUGGUCUUUUGACAGGCCUGCUUUCCAAAUGAGACAGCACCAACACCAGCUUUCAGUUUUAAGAAGCUGCCAUUAUUUAUCCCUUUAAAUCACUGAUUUUAUUAGUUCUGCUGGCAGCUUUCUUAGCUGAAUCCGCAUUUUGUGUAAUUUGUUGUAGUUCACUUGUGCGGGCAGGUUACUAUUUUCUUUGUGCUUGUAACUGUGAUGACAGUGUUCAGACUUUCCAACCCUAGCACUGUACCCACGGUAGGCAGUGUCACCUGUUGAGGUUGCCCAAGAGCUCCCACUAUAAAUCCUAAUUUCUAAUACAUCCAUGUAUCUCUACAGCAGUCCCUGUGCAGACUUGUUGCUGGCUCACGCCUGCCAGUACUUCACAGAGAUGCAGAUGCCAUUGGUGGACUUUUCACUGCUGGACAGAAGGCAUUUGAGUGAUUACUUGUUGUGAAGUACCUUCUGCAGAGACUGCCUGCAGUUUUGGAAGGCAGCUGGAUAGCAUCAUGCAUUAGUAAUCUAAUGACCUUUACCCCUCGGCACCAUUUCCUCACAUCUUGAACAGCUUGGCAAUACUAGGAAAGCAUCCCAUGGUUCAGUACAGUUGUGUAAUAGAAGUUCUUCUCAUUACAUUUCACUCAUUGACUGAUUUUAUCUCAAGAGUAAGCACAGCAGCUAGAAAUCACAGGAAGCCUCGGAAGAGAGUUGGAUUAAUACCUGAAGGCAGUUUCCUCUGGAAGUGAGCUUUCCUUCGAGGCAUGGAGCAGCACUGCUGCUGUGGCUGCUGCACUGGGGCUGCAGGAAGUACCUCUGUGCAGACAAAACUCAUUCUGGGAACAUGCAAAGAACACAGAGUUUGGACCCAAUUACUCACUCUGCCAUCUUUUUUUAUCCUCAAGGAUGGGGGGGAAUCCUUUAUCAGUGCAUAGUAAUCGUCUUGAUGUCCAAUGAAAAGAGCAAUGACAAACAUUUCCUUGCCAGACAAUGAGUAUUGCAGGCAGACAGCUGGGUUACUUUCCACCUUUGCACGAGCACAUCUGCUCAACGAGCACGGCAUACAUUCAGAGAUACCCGAGCACGCAGGGCUGACAUUUGCUUUUCAGAAGCGCCCCCCUGACAGGCACUUGAAUGCUCAGACACCCGUGUGAAAGGUACACAGGACAUCAGUGGGACGAGCUGCGUAACUCACACCACUGACACGUCUCUUUUCACUUGCAGUAUUUAUAGCUGGCAGUGAUUUCCCAUUGCGCACUUUUGCUUUAGGAAGGACUUCUAAAAUAUCAAGAGUUUGUUCCAUACAGACCUUUUCCUUUGGGUACAUGAAGGAGGCUGAUGUCAACGGCAGCUCUCGGACGUGGCCCUGAAUGCACAGCAGUACGAGCCAUUCUGCUUGUGCAUGUGGUCAGCUUUUGCUUCAGUCUUCUUGUGCUUCUGCUUGUGCUUCAGUCAGCAUGACUUUCAGAGCUCUUCAUUUUAUUUUAUGGCUAAUUUCACGAAUUCAUUAGGGGCAUUGUAGUGGCAGUGCUCAAUCACAGCCUGAAACAGUGAUGGAGCACCUGGUGGGAAGGCAGGGCCAACCCAGGGGAGUUCAGGUGCACGUAGUGCUGCUGAGUGACUAGAAGGGAUGGAGUCAGGAUCCACCCCUUCCCAGCCCUCAUUUAAGGGUUGGCAGUGGAGCUGAGGGUAUCUUUUGCUGGAGAUUCCUGCUUACCUGCGGCCUUCUAAGAGUAAGCAGUUCUUUUCCUUAAUUUUUGCAUCUGUGGCUGUUGCAUUUGGGCUCAUUCUCAUUUGGAGUAGCUAAAGACUUUGACGCCCUGCUAUUAUCCUAUUAUAGCGUUGCAGGCAUUAAUAAUAGUUAAGGAGAUUUAAAUCCAUUAUGACUGUAACACUGGGCAGGCUGCAGGGGUGUGCAGAUGUCAUCUCCAUGUUCUUCUGGAGGAAUUUUGGAUGCUCAGUAGCAGUGAUGCCAGUGUUGGGGCAUGCACCCAGAGCACCCCUGUCUGGAGGAAAUGUAGUUCCCCACAUCUUGCAACGCACAGAGCUGUGAGAACACCAGAAUGCCUGAGCACUCAUCUGCUGCCCAGCUCUUGGCUGCUGCUAGAUGCAGCUCGUGACUUUGAAACCAGUUGUUUGCAAAAGAGCUCUGUGCCAUGCCCUGCAGGGCGAGCAGGGCCUCGUGCUGCAGCUGCUGACUAAUGCAUGACACCUCUGCUGUGAGGCAGUUGUGUUCACUCACCGAGGUCAGGGUGACUCAAAGCAGCACAUGUUCCAUGUCGAUGCCCAGAGGCAGCUGCUGUUUUACAUCAUGACAAUGUCAAUUAUCACCUACAACACUCCUGUAAGGAGUAAAAUGGCAUUGACAAAAGAUGCAAUUAUUUGGCUGUUUGCUUUCUCAGUCCUCUGCUAAUGUCAGUGUCUGGUUGUCUCUCUGAUGAUGCCUUUAAACCACAUGUGUGACAGCUACACUGCGUUGAAAAACACAGCUUUCCCCACCUGUGUGUGCAUGAGGAGAUGUGCUGUUGCAGAGAUGCCCUGAUCUUUCUGAGCACCACUGUAACGCUGCUGGAGAAGCUCAAGGGGGGAUUGUGUCCUUUCCAGUGGAGGCUGGAGGUGCAAUAUUGAUCUCAGCCCCCAUCUCUUGGAUAGCUGGAGUGUCAAGCACUGGGUAGAAUUGCUGUAAGUGCGCUGGCUCUUGCUGUGCUCCUGGCCGUUCCUCUGCUUCAUGUCUAUGUGCUUGGGCCUUUGGAGCUGGCUGCUGCACCAGCCCAGCUCUCGGAGGUGUCCCCCAGCAGCUGCUGCCUGGGGUUGCUUGGGCUGCUCGCAGGAGCUGAGGGCACAGCCCAGCCCGCUGUGCUGGCAGAGGCUGAUAGCCUGCCCAGAGCAAGUUUUUCUCCUCCACCACAGUCAUCUGACCUGUCCUUAGAACGGCAUCUGCUUUUGGGGGGCAAGACCAACAAAAAACAACAGCAACAAAAAGCUUUUGUGAUUCAUCUCUUAUUUAGAGCAUGUGCUAAUGAUGAAUUUGGGUGCAUCCCAUCUUGUCUCUAGGAACAGCUGGAAUAACUUCUGUGUUUUUGCAUUGGAAACAACAAUGUUGCCGAAUCAUAGCUGUUCUUUGUGAAUCUCUCCAUUUCUUUAAGUUGUCAAUUUAUGGAAAAGUGGAAGAAUCUGGUAGUGAAACUGAAACUUCUUGUUUGAUCAUUUUGGUACCAGCAGAUGUGGGGAAUUCAUUCCAGGACAAGUUUAUUGCCUACGUUCACGUUCUGACAUUGCCAAAAUGAGCAGAAAUAAAAGCCUUCCCCACCCCCCUCAAGUUUUUAAAUAUAAUGGGAAAUGUUUUUAUUCUUUGGAGUUGUGGCAGAGUCUGCACAAUUUAACCUUGCAGACUUAUCCUGUUCAACCACAGGUCGUGUGCUGCUGUCCCAGCAGCUGGGGCUGGAUCCAUGCAGUCAGUCUGCACACGACGUGGAGGUUUGCUGAUGCUGCACAGUUGGGUGCAGGCAGUCAUCUGCAGAGCCCUCACGCCUUUGUAUCAUCCAGCCUGAUACUCAUAGCGCUGUUUUACUAAGCCCAAAGCCUUUACUGGUUACACAUGCUCUGCGUCAUUCCUUCCAUUGGCACGUGCUCCGUUCGGCAUUCUCUCAUUCACGUACGACACAGGGAAGGGAUUGUAUACUCCACUGUGAUACCACUUACAUCUCCUCCUUUGUUUCUAGGCAUGUAAUUACAUAUGGAUUUGGACCUUAACAAACCAUGGGUUGCUUUAGGUUACACUUGCUCCUGCCUCAGCCUAACUACGUGUUUUCAUUUAGAUUUUGGCAAGACCUUUGUCUGGCCAGCUGGCUUUUGUGCUCGAGACCAUCCUGUCUUUUGUCUUGAGUUACCCUUCCUUCUUCCCAACUGCAGCCCUGACUGCACUUGCAGUAACAGGGAUGAAUUUAUCAAAUGUUUGUGUAUUCACACAAUUAAAACGCAGAUAUUGAUUUGUUACUUUGAUCUCUUGGCUUCCCUUACCAGAAUGUAGGCAUGUAGACACAAAUACAGGGUGUGGAGGAUCUGUUGCAAAGGGCAAUUUUGAUCUGGCCGUAGCAGCGUGAGCCAUCUGUUGAUUGGCCUUUGUCAGCCAAAUUGUGCUACUAGUUGGCAUAGUGAAUAUGUAUGCAGCACUCUGCAGGACAAAACUCAUAAAUUCAGAUUGCCUUGCAUGAACUUAUAUAUGCAGUUCAGCUCCACAAAGAGAAAGAAAAAGAAAAAAACUGCAUACAUUGCUUAUGCAACAAAAUGUUGCUUAUUUAUAGUGGCAUUUACAAGGUGCAGGGAAAGCUGAUAUCCUCCUCAAUGAUGAGGGCUGAAAACCUCAUUAAAAUGUGUUAUAACAUCAAGUGAUGCAUUUCUGCCCCUACUGCUCCAUUUUAACACAGG